GGCCCGUUGGUCAAGUGGUUAAGACACCGCCCUUUCACGGCGGUAACAUGGGUUCACAUCCCGUACGGGUCA
rnacentral:tRNA from 1 species